rnacentral:rRNA from 1 species
CAAUAGCGUAUAUUUAAGUUGCUGCAGUUAAAAAGCUCGUAGUUGGAUUUCGGGUGGGAAUGGCCGGUCCGCCGUUUCGGUGUGCACUUGCUACGCCCACCUUGCUGCCGGGGACGUGCUCUUGAGUUCACGCUCGGGACACGGAGUCGGCGAGGUUACUUUGAGUAAAUUAGAGUGUUCAAAGCAGGCCUACGCUCUGAAUACAUUAGCAUGGAAUAACACGAUAGGACUCUGGCCUAUCUUGUUGGUCUGUAGGACCGGAGUAAUGAUUAAGAGGGACAGUCGGGGGCAUUUGUAUUUCAUUGUCAGAGGUGAAAUUCUUGGAUUUAUGAAAGACGAACUACUGCGAAAGCAUUUGUCAAGGAUGUUUUCAUUGA